GCGACUCGAAGAAUGAUGCUGAUUAGCAAAGGGAGUCGGGGUUGGGGGGCUGUUUCUGAUGGAGAAAAUCGUGUGCCAGGGCCAGGAUGUGGGAGGACUAAGCUCAAGGAACUGGGGAACAUCUAGCAGGCGGGAGCUGAGCAGGUUGAGACGAGAGCAGGGAGCGGGAGGAAGGGAGCUCAGGCAGAGGGCACAGCCAGUGCAAAGGCCCAGAGUCAGGCCUGAGCCUGUACAGUUUGAAGAACUGCUAGAAGCCCAUAGCAGGAAGGUGGCAGCAGAGAGGAGGCUUGAGCGCUGGGCACAGGUGGACUGGGUCUGGGAGCUGGCAUUUAUGCUGGUGCCAGGAUAAGACUGAAGGAUUUUAAGGAGGAGAGUAACAUUUGGGAACAAAGUUUACCCUAAGAAUCUCAAUAAAUUAAAUGUAUAGUUUGAAUGUGCAGAGAGAAAUGGGAGAGUUUCUACAACUGUGUGAUAAGAUCGUAGUUUUUUUUUUUUUUAAAGUAUUCUAAGUUUUUAAAGGUCAUUCCAAAUAGUGGAUUUCUAUCUCAUCUUUGUACCAAAGCAUAUUGUAAAGUUGAGAGAAAGCAGAAGUUCUUGACUUGCAGUAACACAGAAGAGACAUCGAUUUAGUUCCUUGCCAGGACCGCUAGCCCUUGGCUCCACCUUCUCAGGAGCAGAUUGGAACAUGCCUUCCAGCCAGGGAGGAAACUGAGUCCUCCUCCACAGAGAACGACUGUGCCCAGCAGCCUUGUUGGGGAGGCAGCCCCACCUGCACUUUGAGAAUUGUGGAGUGAAGCUGCCGGAUCAUCUGGUGUGGGUUUCACCCAAGGGACCAGACAGUCAGGUGCUGUGCACAAUCUCCCCGCCACAGGAGGCGCGGGAGGCACUGAUCAUGGGGGACGAUUUCCUGCCCCAGCACACCACCUGAGGCUCAUCCAACAUCUGGUGCCACAAUACGUACUUUGAUAAAUGGACACGCGAGUCAGCGGGCUGACAGAGGAGUGGCCGGUCUGCGUCUCAGGAGACACAAACGCAAGUUAUGGCCACGUCGACCAAGGAGCAUACUUAAGGGAAUUCGCUUUUUCCCGAGACCACGGGCGGGUCACUUCCUCACUGGCCCUUAGGUUCCCUGUUGAUAAAAUGACAGGUGUGUCUAAAUCACCAGCAGAUGGCGUGGUGGCUAAGGGGCUGGACACUCCCACAUGGCUGACCAUGCUUCUAAUCCCAGACCUGGUG